rnacentral:rRNA from 1 species
CCUACGGGAGGCAGCAGUGGGGAAUAUUGGGCAAUGGGCGCAAGCCUGACCCAGCAACGCCGCGUGAAGGAAGAAGGCUUUCGGGUUGUAAACUUCUUUUAUCAGGGACGAAGCAUGUGACGGUUCCUGAUGACUAAGCUACGGCUAACUACGUGCCAGCAGCCGCGGUACUACGUAGGUGGCAAGCGUUAUCCGGAUGUACUGGGUGUAAAGGGCGUGUAGGCGGGAGUGCAAGUCAGAUGUGAAAACUAUGGGCUCAACCGAGAGCCUGCAUUUGAAACUGUACUUCUUGAGUGCGGGAGAGGCAAUCGGAAUUCCGUGUGUAGCGGUGAAAUGCGUAGAUAUACGGAGGAACACCGGUGGCGAAGGCGGAUUGCUGGACAGUAACUGACGCUGAGGCGCGAAAGCGUGGGGAGCAAACAGGAUUAGAUACCCCUGUAGUC